UGUUGACCUUGGUCAUUAAAAAUAUUUUUCAGAUUUCAAAGAAAUGCUGUACAUUGGAUAUACACAUGCUAGGUUUGAAGACUUAUGUAUAACUUGACAGGACCUGAUGUAAGCACAUUGGCCACUUUUGAUGGGUGUUGCAGAAUAUCCGGAAUGCGACAUAGUGGCGCCUGUUAGAAAAAAGGGAACUUCAAAGUUUUAAAUGACUUAAGAGUGGUGAAAAUGCAUCCAUAUAAUUGAUUUCAAAGAAAUGCUGUACAUUGGAUAUACACAUGCCAGGUUUGAAGACUUAUGUAUAACUUGACAGGACCUGAUGUAAGCACAUUGGCCACUUUUGAUGGGUGUUGCAGAAUAUCCGGAAUGCGACAUAGUGGCGCCUGUUAGAAAAAAGGGAACUUCAAAGUUUUAAAUGACUUAAGAGUGGUGAAAAUGCAUCCAUAUAAUUGAUUUCAAAGAAAUGCUGUACAUUGGAUAUACACAUGCCAGGUUUGAAGACUUAUGUAUAACUUGACAGGACCUGAUGUAAGCACAUUGGCCACUUUUGAUGGGUGUUGCAGAUUUCAAAGAAAUGCUGUACAUUGGAUAUACACAUGCCAGGUUUGAAGACUUAUGUAUAACUUGACAGGACCUGAUGUAAGCACAUUGGCCACUUUUGAUGGGUGUUGCAGAUUUCAAAGAAAUGCUGUACAUUGGCUAUACACAUGCCAGGUUUGAAGACUUAUGUAUAACUUGACAGGACCUGAUAAUAUCCGGAUUGCGGCAUAACGGCGCUUGUCAGAAAAAAGGGAAUUUCAAAGUUUUAAAUGACUUAAGAGUGGUGAAAAUGCAUCCAUAUAAUUGAUUUCAAAGAAAUGCUGUACAUUGGCUAUACACAUGCCAGGUUUGAAGACUUAUGUAUAACUUGACAGGACCUGAUGUAAGCACAUUGGCCACUUUUGAUGGGUGUUGCAGAAUAUCCGGAUUGCGGCAUAACGGCGCUUGUUAGAAAAAAGGGAAUUUCAAAGUUUUAAAUGACUUAAGAGUGGUGAAAAUGUAUCCAUUUAAUUGAUUUCAAAGAAAUGCUGUACAUUGGCUAUACACAUGCCAGGUUUGAAGACUUAUGUAUAACUUGACAGGACCUGAUGUAAGCACAUUGGCCACUUUUGAUGGGUGUUGCAGAAUAUCCGGAUUGCGGCAUAACGGCGCUUGUCAGAAAAAAGGGAAUUUCAAAGUUUUAAAUGACUUAAGAGUGGUGAAAAUGCAUCCAUAUAAUUGGUAAUUGUAUAUGCAACUU